AACGAACGCUGGCGGCAUGCCUAACACAUGCAAGUCGAACGAGACCUUCGGGUCUAGUGGCGCACGGGUGCGUAACGCGUGGGAACCUGCCCUUAGGUUCGGAAUAACUCCCCGAAAGGGGUGCUAAUACCGGAUAAUGUCUUCGGACCAAAGAUUUAUCGCCUUUGGAUGGGCCCGCGUUGGAUUAGCUAGUUGGUAGGGUAAAAGCCUACCAAGGCGACGAUCCAUAGCUGGUCGGAGAGGAUGAUCAGCCACACUGGGACUGAGACACGGCCCAGACUCCUACGGGAGGCAGGAGUGGGGAAUAUUGGACGAUGGGCGAAAGCCUGAUCCAGCAAUGCCGCGUGAGUGAUGAAGGCCUUAGGGUUGUAAAGCUCUUUUACCCGGGAUGAUAAUGACAGUACCGGGAGAAUAAGCUCCGGCUAACUCCGUG
rnacentral:rRNA from 1 species